UACGUAGGGUGCAAGCGUUGUCCGGAAUUAUUGGGCGUAAAGAGCUCGUAGGCGGCUUGUCGCGUCGUCCGUGAAAACCUGCGAGCUCACUGCAGGCUUGCGGUCGAUACGGGCAGGCUAGAGUUCGGUAGGGGAGACUGGAAUUCCUGGUGUAGCGGUGAAAUGCGCAGAUAUCAGGAGGAACACCGGUGGCGAAGGCGGGUCUCUGGGCCGAUACUGACGCUGAGGAGCGAAAGCGUGGGGAGCGAACAGG
rnacentral:rRNA from 1 species